GAUGAACGCUGGCGGCGUGCCUAACACAUGCAAGUCGAACGGAGUUACUUGUUUAGAUCUCUUCGGAGUGACGAACUUUUAACUUAGUGGCGGACGGGUGAGUAACACGUGAGCAACCUGCCUUUCACAGGGGGAUAACAGCUAGAAAUGGCUGCUAAUACCGCAUAAGCGCACAGUGCCGCAUGGCAGUGUGUGAAAAACUCCGGUGGUAUGAGAUGGAUCCGCGUCUGAUUAGCCAGUUGGUGGGGUAACGGCCCACCAAAGCGACGAUCAGUAGCCUGCCUGAGAGGGCGACCGGCCACAUUGGGACUGAGACACGGCCCAA
rnacentral:rRNA from 1 species